UACGUAGGGGGCUAGCGUUGUCCGGAAUCAUUGGGCGUAAAGCGCGUGUAGGCGGUCCGGUAAGUCCGCUGUGAAAGUCGGGGGCUCAACCCUCGGAUGCCGGUGGAUACUGUCGGGCUUGAGUACGGAAGAGGCGAGUGGAAUUCCCGGUGUAGCGGUGAAAUGCGUAGAUAUCGGAAGGAACAUCAGUGGCGAAAGCGACUUCCUGGACCAAUACUGACGCUCAUGUGCGAAAGCGUGGGGAGCAAACAGG
rnacentral:rRNA from 1 species